AAGAGUCCAAAUUACAGGGACCUUCCUCACCUGAGAGGCAGAGAGUUAGGAAUGAGAAUUCAAGAUCCAGCAAGAAGCAUCCAGAGGAGCCUGUGGAAGCACCACCUGGAAGAGCUCCUCCCUGGUUUCCACCUGCAGCCUCACGUGCCUUUGGGCUUCCUCCUGCCCCUCAGUCUGCAGGAUGUUCAGCACUCUCCCCUCUGGGUUUGGCUCCCCCACGGAUUCCUCCUGGAUCCUGGAAGGGGUGAUCAGCUGUGAAGGAAAAGGACCCGACUGGAGCAGAAUACAGUUUGAAGAGUCUCCCACAUGUUGCUAAAUCCUGGGAGCCUCCCUUCAGGAUCAGUGGUUGCUCAGAUGCUUCGCUGGCCAGGGCUGGCAGUGCUCUGGUGGGCAGAGCAGCUCUCAGGUGGCCUCCUUGGCUCUCGUUUGCCUCAGGUUGUCUUCACUUCUCAGAGCUGUCUUUCCUCCUCAGCUCCUCUUCUUCCUCUCUUACUCUUACACUCAACAAUGGGUGUUGCUCUU